CCCUCCAACACAGGUUGGUGGUUCCAUCUUUGGACACCUAAGAACUGGAGGCCAAGAAACAUGGACUUGGAGAAAACUGUGGGCAGCUUGCGCCCUGUAAGCUGAAGAACAAAUAUAGCACACAG